rnacentral:rRNA from 1 species
AAAGGGGCUUCGGUCCUGAGUAAAGUGGCGCACGGGUGAGUAACACGUGACUAACCUACCCUGGAGUGGGGAAUAACUUCGAGAAAUCGAGGCUAAUACCGCAUAACACCUACGGGUCAAAGGAGCAAUUCGCUUUGGGAGGGGGUCGCGGCAGAUUAGCUAGUUGGCGGGGUAAUGGCCCACCAAGGCAGUGAUCUGUAUCCGGCCUGAGAGGGCGCACGGACACACUGGAACUGAAACACGGUCCAGACUCCUACGGGAGGCAGCAGUGGGGAAUUUUGCGCAAUGGGGGAAACCCUGACGCAGCAACGCCGCGUGGAGGAUGAAGUCUCUUGGGACGUAAACUCCUUUCGACCGGGACGAUAAUGACGGUACCGGAAGAAGAAGCCCCGGCUAACUUCGUGCCAGCAGCCGCGGUAAUACGAGGGGGGCAAGCGUUGUUCGGAAUUAUUGGGCGUAAAGGGUGCGUAGGCGGC